rnacentral:rRNA from 1 species
CCUACGGGUGGCAGCAGUGGGGAAUCUUGCUCAAUGGGCGCAAGCCUGAAGCAGCGACGCCGCGUGUGGGAAGAAGGUCUUCGGAUUGUAAACCACUUUCAGGAGGGAAGAAGCGAAAGUGACGGUACCUCCAGAAGAAGCCCCGGCCAACUACGUGCCAGCAGCCGCGGUAAUACGUAGGGGGCAAGCGUUGUCCGGAAUUAUUGGGCGUAAAGAGCUCGUAGGCGGCCCAUCAAGUCGGAUGUGAAAUCUCAAGGCUCAACCUUGAAAUUGCAUCCGAUACUGGCGGGCUUGAGGCAGGUAGGGGAAGGUGGAAUUCCUGGUGUAGCGGUGAAAUGCGCAGAUAUCAGGAGGAACACCGGUGGCGAAGGCGGCCUUCUGGGCCUGUUCUGACGCUGAGGAGCGAAAGCGUGGGGAGCAAACAGGAUUAGAUACCCUAG